AAUUCGAUUGAGUUUGAUCAUGGCUCAGGACGAACGCUGGCGGCGUGCCUAAUGCAUGCAAGUCGCACGCACGGAGCUUGCUCCGUGAGUGGCGCACGGCUGAGGAUCGCGUGGGAACAUGCCUCCUUGUGGGGGACAACACCGCGAAAGCGGUGCUAAUCCCGCAUACGCUCGGCAACGAGGAAAGCGGUAACGCGCAGGGAGAGUGGCCCGCGGCCCAUCAGGUCGUUGGUGGGGUAAUGGCCUACCAAGCCGGUGACGGGUAGCUGGUCUGUGAGGACAGACAGCCAGACUGGGACUGAGACACGGCCCAGACUCCUACGGGAGGCAGCAGCAAGGAAUUUUCGUCAAUGGGCGCAAGCCUGAACGAGCAACGCCGCGUGGAGGAUGACGGCCUUCGGGUUGUAAACUCCUUUUUCGGGGGAUGAUAGUGACAGUACCCCGGGAAUAAGGCUCGGCUAACUCUGUGCCAGCAGCCGCGGUAAUACAGAGGAGCCAAGCGUUGUCCGGAUUGACUGGGCGUAAAGCGCACGCAGGCGGAUGCGCGCGUGGGGUGUGAAAUCUGGCCGCUUAACGGCCAGGCGCCAUCCCAUACGGCGCGUCUGGAGUGAUGCAGAGGUCGGUGGAAUUGCCGGUGUAGUGGUGAAAUGCGUAGAGAUCGGCAGGAACACCCAGGGGGAAACCAGCCGACUGGGCAUCGACUGACGCUGAGGUGCGAGAG
rnacentral:rRNA from 1 species